rnacentral:rRNA from 1 species
AACGAACGCUGGCGGCGUGCCUAACACAUGCAAGUCGAGGGAGAAAAGGGGCUUCGGCUCCCGAGUAAACCGGCGCACGGGUGAGUAACACGUAGGUAACGUACCCUGGAGUCUGGGAUAACCAGUCGAAAGACUGGCUAAUACCAGAUACGACUCUGGAAGCUCUGGCUUCUAGAGUGAAAGAUGGCCUCUGUUUACAAGCUAUCACUCCUGGAUCGGCCUGCGCACCAUUAGCUAGUUGGUGAGGUAAUGGCUCACCAAGGCUGAGAUGGUUAGCUGGUCUGAGAGGAUGGCCAGCCACACUGGGACUGAGACACGGCCCAGACUCCUACGGGAGGCAGCAGUGGGGAAUAUUGCGCAAUGGGCGAAAGCCUGACGCAGCGACGCCGCGUGGGUGAUG